rnacentral:rRNA from 1 species
ACGGAGGAUGCAAGCGUUAUCCGGAUUCAUUGGGUUUAAAGGGUGCGCAGGCGGAUUGGUAAGUCAGUGGUGAAAUUCAACGGCUCAACUGUUGAUCUGCCAUUGAUACUGUCAGUCUAGAGUAUAGUUGGAGUGGGCGGAAUGUGUCAUGUAGCGGUGAAAUGCUUAGAUAUGACACAGAACACCGAUCGCGAAGGCAGCUCACUAAGCUAAAACUGACGCUCAUGCACGAAAGCGUGGGGAUCAAACAG